UACGUAGGGCGCAAGCGUUGUCCGGAAUUAUUGGGCGUAAAGAGCUCGUAGGCGGUUUGUCGCGUCUGCUGUGAAAACCUAAGGCUCAACCUUGGGCUUGCAGUGGGUACGGGCAGACUAGAGUGGUGGUAGGGGAGAUCGGAAUUCCUGGUGUAGCGGUGAAAUGCGCAGAUAUCAGGAGGAACACCGGUGGCGAAGGCGGAUCUCUGGGCCAGUUACUGACGCUGAGGAGCGAAAGCGUGGGGAGCGAACAGG
rnacentral:rRNA from 1 species